CAGAGGUGGCAAGCGUUGUUCGGAAUUACUGGGCGUAAAGGGCGCGUAGGCGGCCCGCUAAGUCGAACGUGAAAUCCCCGAGCUCAACUCGGGAACUGCGUCCGAUACUGGCGGGCUUGAAUCCGGGAGAGGGAUGCGGAAUUCCAGGUGUAGCGGUGAAAUGCGUAGAUAUCUGGAGGAACACCGGUGGCGAAGGCGGCAUCCUGGACCGGCAUUGACGCUGAGGCGCGAAAGCUAGGGGAGCAAACGGGAUUAGAUACCCCGGUAGUCCUAGCCCUAAACGAUGAAUGCUUGGUGUGGCGGGUAUCGAUCCCUGCCGUGCCGAAGCUAACGCAUUAAGCAUUCCGCCUGGGGAGUACGGUCGCAAGGCUG
rnacentral:rRNA from 1 species